CGCUGGCAAUGGGUAUAUACAUAUAGAGGGAGCGAGUUUCAGUUCGAAAACAUUGCAUUGGUUUGCUUUGAUCUUGGUGUCCAUCUUUAAUGGGUGGUGAAGAGCAAUGUAGAGCAUGGGAUUGCUCUUCUUGUAGUAAAAUAUUGCUUAGAUAGAAGCUCAUUCACCAUAGUUGGUAUGUUUAGCGGAGGUCAGAAUGAGAAGAAAGCUUCAGUUGACUUGGUUUUUCUUCGGAACAGAUUGUGGUUGCUGACAAAAUAUUGGUGGUCGCUGGCAUGUGCCCAAUAGUUGGGAAUGCGGGAGGUGAGUAGUGCACAAAGACCGGAAUUGGGGAGCAUUGGCAUGACAGUAGUUAGCCUGCGAGGCAGUUUGAAGGAUGCCAUAGAGCGUGCAGAUCACUUGUUCGACGGAAUUACUCAGAAGAUAAGACCACAUGGUUACUUAGUCAGAUGAAAUGGGUUACUUCAAAAUGCUUCAGCCUCUGCGAUAUUAUGCUUGUAAGGGUUUACAGACACUCAACCUCUGCAGUAACGGAGUGUUACUUUUCUUUUUCAACUCAUAUAUCAAUAACCAAGCUCAGGUUUUUCAGUAGCUCCACUGAUAGUGUAAACCCACCAGAAAUGAAUUCAGUUUCCAAGAUGAAUUCAAAGUCAAGUAUGGAAACGAGAACUUCAUCAGAGCUGCAGGAGAAAGAAAAGGAGAACUUGAUCCCCUACUUGUUGGAAACAAGCAAAACGCCUCCUUUCCUGGUCCCAGCUUUUAAUAUUUGUAAGAUCCUUAUUCAGAGCAAACAGUGGUCUGAAUCGGUAGAGACGGAGAUUCAGGGUCUGAAUGUGGAGUUGAACACCUACAUUGUCAAUCACGUCUUGGGGAGUCUCUCGGCUGAAAUGGGUUUCUGUUUUUACAACUGGGCUGAAUCCAAAUUGGGCUUUAAACAUGACCGCUUUACAAGUAGAUCCAUGAUUUUUGCACUUCUUCGUGAUUGCAACUAUGAUCUCUUAUCACAGUUUUGGCAGAGAAUGAAGGAUGCAGGCUUUCCAGUACAUCGGUCUAUAUAUCGUAUUCUUAUAUCAGGUUACGUUAGAUCUGGGUUAACUGACCUUGCUAUCCAAACUUUCGAUGAGAUGCUUGAUUCUGAUUGCAGGGUGUUCAGUAUAGAUUAUGAUAGAUUUGUUGGAGUAUUAGUUCGGGAAUCUCGCUUUGAUUUGGCUGAGCAUUACUACAGUAGAUUGAUGCUGCAAGGAUUUUCUUUAUGCGUAUUUACAUAUUCAAGGUUCAUCUCUGGGCUCUGCAAGGUGAAGCAUCUGGGUCUCAUUAGCAGACUUCUAGAUGACAUGGAUAAGCUCAGGUAUGUCCCUGACAUUUGGGCUUAUAAUAUAUAUAUUAAUCUCUUGUGCCAGGAAAAUAGAUUAGAUGUUGCCCUUGAAGUACUGCAGAUGAUGAGUCAGAAAGGAAGAGAUCCUGAUCUUGUUUCCUACACCACAGUUAUUAAUGGUUUGUGCAAAUUUGGACUCCUUGAAACAGCAGUGGAGAUUUGGCGUGAAUUGAUUAGAAAGGGAUUUAGCCCGGAUGCUACAGCUUGUGGGGCUUUGGUUUUUGGUUUGUGUAAUUGUGGGAAAGUUGAUUUGGCUUAUGAGCUUAUGGUGGGAAUGAUCAAGGGUCAAGUUGAGUUGAGUACUUCAAUUUACAAUGCUCUUAUUAAUGGAUUUUGUCGAGCUGGUCGGAUUGAUAAAGCCCAAAUAAUCAAGUCAUUCAUGAUAAGGAAUGGCUGCAGACCAGAUUUGAUUACAUAUAACAUACUGUUGAAUUAUUGUUGUAAUAGGCGUAUGAUUGAGGAAGCAGAGGGAUUGAUGGAAAAGAUGAAGAGGAGUCGCUUAAGACCUGAUAGCUACAGUUACAAUCAGCUUUUGAAGGGCCUCUGUAAGGCUAACCGACAAGAAAAAGCAUACCAUUUGAUGGUAACAGAGAUGGAAACAAAGGGAUUUUGUGAUGUUGUGUCAUACAACACUCUCAUUAGAUCACUCUGCCAAGCCGGCCACGCCAAAAGGGCAUACAGGUUAUUUGAGGAAAUGGGGCAAAAAGGGAUUGUCCCAGAUGUCGUGACUUUCACAAUUCUCAUAAAUGCUUCUUUUAGAGAAGAUCGUUCUGAAUUUGCGGAGGAUCUUUUUGACCAAAUGGUCGGGAUGGGAUUGAUUCCUGAUCGUGUUGUAUAUACAACAAUGGUUGAUCAUCUGUGCAGGACUGGUAGAAUCGAGAUGGCUCGAAGCGUCUUCUUCAAUAUGGUUGAGAAAGGAAUUGUCCCUGACGUAGUUUCAUACAAUGCCCUUAUAAAUGGACUUUGCAAGGCUUCUAGGGCUAGUGAAGCCAUGCAUCUUUAUGAGGACAUGCGUGCUUAUGGGCCUCAUCCUGAUGAGGUGACCUAUAAAGUGAUUAUCUCAGGGCUUAUACAGGAGGAAAAGCUUUCAAUGGCUUGUCAGGUGUGGGACCAGAUGAUGGAGAAUGGGUUUACUCUAGACAAAGUGGUUUCUAAUGAUCUUAUAAAAACCAUUAGUUCAAAGGAUGCAACUUUCAUGAAUGGCAGAAGAUAUUGAAACCUACAGUACUGAAGCCCAUUAAAUGACAGAGAGUUAGACCACGGUGCACUAAGUUAAGCCAGCUGUUGAUGGUAUCUGCAAUUCAUCCUGCCUAGACAAAGGAAAAGGGGCAUUCAGGGAUGUGGAAGCGAUAAAAGAACCUAGAAUUUGAAUUAAGAAGUUGUAAUGAUUUAUGCCGUACAUCAUACUUUUAUUGCGUAGUUGUGGUCAUCACCUAGCCAUCAACUACUGCUUCGACAACCUUGACAACAAGUUGAUGGAGACCCUCUUGUCAGGUCUAGCUUCCAUGAAGAUGAGUUCCGAUGCAGAGAAGAAAUUCAAUAUAGAGAAGGCCAUGUCUUCCUGUCACUGAUGAUGUCCUCCAGUGAUCAUGGUUUGCUUUCACUGGUGAAUAUGAUGAAAUGUCUCAACCUGAAGGGACAAGAUGGAUCCUGUGGAACCCAUGUUGGGUUGAGCUCAUCCAGGGCUCCAAGAAAGAUUGUGAGAUGUUCAACGUCAACUGGGUCAAAAUGUUUCAGCCUUGAAGAAGAAAAGAUUGACCAGUGACUACUACCGCUACUCUCUAUGGCUGAUGAUUCUGACGAUGAAAAAGUUGGGUUGAGAAGAGAGGAUAGAAGAAGCUCUGGCCAAUGGACAUGGACACCCUAUGUUUUCUGGUUGUUCUUUGAAUUUAUUUCUGAGCUACUCCUGCAGCUAAUUUUCUUGGAUUUUUUUUUUUGUUCUUUAGUAUACUGUUUUAAGACUUUUACGUUCUAUGUAUGACCUAGAGAACAUCAUUUUGAAUAGAAGAUAAGGUGUUUUAUCAGUUAAAA